rnacentral:rRNA from 1 species
GACGAACGCUGGCGGCGUGCUUAACACAUGCAAGUCGAACGGAAAGGCCCUGCUUUUGUGGGGUGCUCGAGUGGCGAACGGGUGAGUAACCCGUGAGUAACCUGGGCUUGACUUUGGGAUAACUUCAGGAAACUGGGGAUAAUACCGGCUAGGAGCUCCUGCUGCAUGGUGGGGGUCGGACCGUUUCGGCGGUUGGGGAUGGACUCGCGGCUUAUCAGCUUGUUGGUGGGGUAGUGGCUUACCAAGGCUUUGACGGAUAGCCGGCCUGAGAGGGUGACCGGCCACAUUGGGACUGAGGUACGGCCCAGACUCCUACAGGAGGCAGCAGUGGGGAAUAUUGCACAAUGGGCGGAAGCCUGAUGCAGCAACGCCGCGUGCGGGAUGACGGCCUUCGGGUUGUAAACCGCUUUCGCCUGUGACGAAGCGUGAGUGACGGUAAUGGGUAAAGAAGCACCGGCUAACUACGUG